ACAAUGGUUCCCAUUAAGCUCGAACACAGAAUACACACACACAUAGAUAUAAGCAUCAUACACCAAUGAUAUUCUCUUAUUCAUUCCAAUUUUGUUUCUCCUCUUCGUUUUUUUUAGUUUUCUUCAUUUUCUCACUUGGGUCCGUUUGUUUUUUCACAAUUUUCCAUCCAAUAUGCCUCUUUGCUGACUUUUCACUUUGAAAAUGCUGAAAUUUUCAAUUUUUAGUUACUGCAAAUGCCCUUUUCUUUUAUGUUGAGUGUGGAGUAGCAAUUACCACUCAUUUGAUGAUCUAACAUAUGCUUUAUGUAAUUUCUUGUGUCCAUUGAAAUGAAAAAAAGGAUUUUUUUUUUGGUUUAGGUCUUAAGUUUCACGUCGUUUUUGCUUUGUUUUGAUUAUUAAGAUAUGUUGGUGGGGGUUAUGUAAUUGCAGAAUUUUGGCAUUUCAUUCGGUUGGACUUGCCAUUGAAGAUCAUGGUUUCUGAGGUUACUUUUGAAACAGAUUGUUGAAACUGAUGUUCUAGUCAUGGCGUCGGUAUCUAGAACUAUAAAGAUUGUUAAGAGGUCAGAAAGGACAUAUAAGAAUCGACAACGGCUUUAUCUUUCUGAGCAGGUUUUGCAAGAAUCCAUUGAAGCAGUGAAACCAUAUUUGCUGCAAUUGAUUGAUUUAUAGGCCUUUUUGUAGGUUUGGUAGCCAAAUUUUGGUUCAAAUGUACUUAUUUAAAUAGCUUGUCCGUACCAAAACAUAUAUGUUAAUUGCUUCAUUGUACAAACAUUGUACGAACAAUUGUACGAACAAUUGUACAUAUAUUAAAGUAUAUAUAUUAAAUCGUUAAUCAUUUUUGUCCA